rnacentral:rRNA from 1 species
UACGUAGGGGCCGAGCGUUGUCCGGAGUUAUUGGGCGUAAAGCGCGCGCAGGCGGCCUCGCGCGCCCGACGUGAAAGCCCCCGGCUUAACCGGGGAGGGUCGUUGGGGACGGCGGGGCUUGAGGGCGGGAGAGGGGGGUGGAAUUCCCGGUGUAGUGGUGAAAUGCGUAGAGAUCGGGAGGAACACCCGUGGCGAAGGCGGCCACCUGGGCCGACCCUGACGCUGAGGCGCGAAGGCGUGGGGAGCGAACGGG